ACGUAGGUCCCGAGCGUUGUCCGGAUUUAUUGGGCGUAAAGCGAGCGCAGGCGGUUAGAUAAGUCUGAAGUUAAAGGCUGUGGCUUAACCAUAGUACGCUUUGGAAACUGUUUAACUUGAGUGCAAGAGGGGAGAGUGGAAUUCCAUGUGUAGCGGUGAAAUGCGUAGAUAUAUGGAGGAACACCGGUGGCGAAAGCGGCUCUCUGGCUUGUAACUGACGCUGAGGCUCGAAAGCGUGGGGAGCAAACAGGAUUAGAAACCCCUGU
rnacentral:rRNA from 1 species